GCUGGGCGUGGUGGCUCACGCCUGUAAUCCCAGCACUUUGGGAGGCCGAGGCGGAUGGAUCACCUGAGGCCAGGAGUUCGAGACCAGCUUGGCCAACAUGGUGAAACCUCGUCUCUACUAAAAAUACAAAAAUUAGCCGGGCAUGAUGGCGGGCGCCUGUAAUCCCAGCUACUCGGAAGGCUGAGGCAGGAGAAUCAUUUGAACCCAGAAGGUGGAGGUUGCAGUGAGCCGAGAUUGUGCCACUGCACUCCAGCCUGGGCGACAGAGUGAGACUCUGUCUCA
rnacentral:sRNA from 1 species